rnacentral:tRNA from 1 species
GUCCAGAUGGCGGAAUAGGAAUACGCGACGGUCUCAAAAACCGGGCCCCUCGGGGUGUGAGGGUUCAACUCCCUCUCUGGACA